GCUCCCCGCCCCACCCGAGCUCUUGCUCCAAGGGGGGCGGUGUCCUACAGAGAACCCAGGCUUUUCCAGGGAACAUGGCCGUUGCCGGUCAGAGCUCCGAGAAUAUUUGCAGCGAGAAAACUAGUGAACUAACGCCGUCGUCAUGGCUGAAUCAAACUUAGAAUACGGAAAUCCAGACAGAAAGCGAAGAACCACCGAACUUCACAGCAUCAAGUCACCAGCAUCUGCUAGGACCUGAGCUGCCUUCCUGCGGACCUGAACCCCGCGCUAGCCCGCUCCGCAAGGUCUGAUUAUUUAUUUGUCAUUCUUAAAGACUAUUUUUGACUGGACUCAGAAGUGGAAACUCUCAGCGGGAACGGCGCACGCCACUUGGCGAUCUGUUCCUGGAGGUUUUCUUUGGCUUGCUUCAUUUUCUUGGCCAAAUGUUUAGCAUGUUCUACAGCCUCCUCCUCGUUUCCCCAGUGCCCGUGCGUACGAAGAACCGCGGUGAGUUUCGGACAGCCGGUGGCUGCGAUUUCCCUGUUAUGGACUUUCAGCUUCCUCCUAACACGGCCUGGAAUUCACUUGUAGCUUUCUUUCAACUCGAGGCAGCUCUCCCGCCCCGGCCUUCCGAAUACUAAGAUUACAGGCGCGCGCCACCACGCCAGGCUCAAAAAAAUGUCUUUAUAAAUCGUUGCUAAGUACAGUAACGCAUGGAGUGAACGAGACCGAAGUUUUUCUCAAAAAACAAAACAAACAAAAGAGCCACGACCUCUGCAUGUUGGUUUAAGUUCGGACAAUAUCACGGACUUACACGCAAAGACUACUUUGUAUCUGGCAACCCCGUGGCCAGAGUCACACCGCUUUGCAGAUUCCACUAAAACCACACUCAAAAAGGUGUGAGGCAGAGGCAGGAGGCUGGAAGCAUUUCCAGAUAGACCCCGACUCUUCAAGCCAGUAAAUAACUUAGCUGGGUGAGGUGGCGUUUGCUCACCUGUAACUCCAGCAUCUGGGAAGUGGAGACGGGGAUCAAGAGUUCAAGGUGGCGCGGUCGAGUUCGAGGCCACCUGGUUUUUACCCUCCCUUUCAGCAAGACGCCUACUGUCACGGAAGAACUCUAAUCCUCAGAGUGGCCAGAUGCCUGAGUUGAUUCUCCCGGCCUUCUUCACUAAGGCUCCAUGACUCUAAGCUUGUUCUUUCUCUCCUCUCUGCAGUGGCUAGUGAUCAAUCUCAUGGCUUUGUGCACACAAAGCCGAGUUCAAUCACUGAGUUCUAGUCUGCUCCAUGCCUUCGUCUUUUAUCUUUGUCUUUACAUAUUUAAACUUUGACUUAAAGCUCUGGAACACACGGACACAAGGAAAGCAGAACAUUUUCCAUACAGAAACUGAAGUCCUGCUUGUGAAUUCUGGGCUUGGGGUGAGAUGGAGGAGUAGAAAACAAAUAGGGAAAUGAGAAUAAUUUAAAUGUUUCUCUGCACAAUAUGUACGUAUGAAAACUGUUAGUCAAAAAAAAGAAAAAAAAUAGA
rnacentral:lncRNA from 1 species